rnacentral:lncRNA from 1 species
GGUGGCGGCGGCGGCAGGAUGGCGACGGCCGUCCUGCUGAGCGUGUCGGUGCCGCGGUGGGAGCGGGUGGCCCGGUAUGCAGUGUGCGCUGCCGGAAUCCUGCUCUCCAUCUACGCCUACCAUGUGGAGAGGCAGAAGGAGCGGGACCCCGAGCACCGGGCCCUCUGCGACCUGGGGCCCUGGGUGAAGUGCUCCGUCGCCCUUGCCUCCAGCAAAUUCAACACCCAACAGCUUCCUUAAUAGCAAAGGUAGCAACAGCCCAGGAUGAUAUAACUGGUGAUGGUACGACUUCCAACGUCCUAAUCAUUGGAGAGCUGCUGAAACAGGCGGAUCUCUACAUUUCUGAAGGCCUUCAUCCCAGAAUAAUCACUGAAGGAUUUGAAGCUGUGAAGGAAAAGGCCCUUCAUUUUUUGGAAGAAGUCAAAGUAAGCAGAGAGAUGGACAAGGAAACACUUAAAGAUGUGGCCAGGGCAUCUCUUUGUACUAAAGUUCAUGCUGAACUUGCAGAUGUCUUAACAGAGGCUGUAGUGGGCUCCAUUUUGGCCAUUAAAAGAAAAGAUGAACCUAUUGAUCUCUUCAUGAUUUUGUGAUCAUUGACAAGAAACAUAAAUCUGAAACUGAUACGAGAGAAGUGAAUUCUGGCUUUUUUUACAAGAGUGCAGAAAGAGAAAAACUCAUAAAAGCUGAAAGAAAAUUCAUUGAAGAUAGAGUUAAAACAAAUAAUAGAACUGAAAAGGAAAGUCUGUGGUGAUUCAGAUAAAGGAUUUGUUAUUAAUCAAAAGGGAAUUGACCCCUUUUCCUUAGAUGCUCUUUCAAAGAAGGCAUAGUCGCUCUUCACAGAGCUAAAAGGAGGAAUAUGGAGAGGCUGACUCUUGCUUGUGGUGGGGUGGCCCUGAAUUCUUUUGAGGACCUAAGUCCUGACUGCUUGGGACAUGCAGGACUUGUAUAUGAGUAUACAUUGGGAGAAGUUCACCUUUAUUGAGAAGUGUAACAACCCUCGUUCUAUCACAUUAUUGAUCAAAGGACCAAAUAAGCCCACACUUAGAUCAAAGAUGCAGUAAGGGAUGGCUUGAGGGCUGUCAAAAAUGCUGUUGAUGAUGGCUGUGUGGUUCCGGGUGCUGGUGCUGUGGAAGUGGCAAUGGCAGAAGCCCUGAAUAAAUAUAAGCUCAGUGUAAAGGGCAAGGCACAGCUUGGAGUCCAAGCAUUUGCUGAUGCGUUGCUCGUUAUUCCCAAGGUGAGCCCGUGGUAGCAGCAGAAGCAGGCAUUAUGGGAUAACGAUUGUGUAAAGAAACAGCUUCUUCAUUCCUGCACUGAUUGCCACCAACAUUCUCUUGGUUGAUGAGAUCAUGCGAGCUGGAAUGUCUUCUCUGAAAGGUUGAAUUGAAGCUUCCUCUGUAUCUGAGUCUUGAAGACUCUGCAAAGUGAUCCUGAAGAAUACAGCUGUGGAAUUUUUGUCCAAGCUUCAAAUGAGUUUCAAGGGAAUUUUCCCAUGUGAAAAAAGGAGAGAACACUGGCAUCUGUGGAAGUUCUGAAAUUAUAAUUACAGUAUUUUUUAAAAAUUGCACUGAAGUGUACACAGAUAAAGCAGGUCUUUCACCCAGUGAACAGGAUGUUUUGCUUUAGCAGCAGUGACAUAAAAUUCCAUGUUAAAUAAGCAUAUAUUACCUACCUUAUUAAAUAUUCCUUGAAAAAGCAGAUUUUAAUGGUUUAAUUUUAUGUGGACAUAUGUUAAAUUAUUCAGCAGUACCCUAUUGUUAAGCAUCUGGUUUUAAAAUUUUUAUGCUAAUAUAAAUAACGCUUAGUAAUUUAAAAUUUUGGAAGCAUCCCGUUAGUGUAAAUUUCUGAGUAAAUUUAUUGAUCAGUUGGACUUUUCACGCUUUUGAAAUAGCUUUGCUAAAAUGCUCCCCCUACAAAGUUGUAGGAAAUGGGAAGAGGAGUAAACUAGAGGCAAGGGAGUUGAGAGAGCUGGAAGGCAUGGUGGCUAAGGGCUACGGUUAUCAGGUGAAAUUUGAGAUUUGUAGGCUGACUAUAUUUUCAAGCUUCUGAACUUUUGCUUAUGCAAAAUAUUCAUCCCAAAGCCUCUAGCGUCAUAGUUUCCUCACCCAAAUUACUAUGUUUCCACAAGAUUUAUAUAGUUGGUCUAUCUCUGCGGUCCUUGAAAGUGAAGUUGGUGUUACUAGGCUGUGGGUUUUGGGGGCUCAGCAGUGACCUGGAGUGUGCAAAUAAAUGUUAAGUUGAAACCUC